CCAGUAGCACCUUAGAGACCAACUAAGUUUGUUCUGGGUAUAAGCUUUCGUGUGCAUGCACACUUCUUCAGAUACCUUCUUCAGAUACUUCAGUGUGCCUGCACACGAAAACUUAUACCCAGAACAAACUUAGCUGGUCUCUAAGGUGCUACUGG
rnacentral:miRNA from 1 species